GGGAUGUAGCUCAGUUGGGAGAGCACCUGCCUUGCAAGCAGGGGGUCGAGAGUUCGAAUCUCUUCAUCUCC
rnacentral:tRNA from 4 species